rnacentral:lncRNA from 1 species
GGGAGUUGACGUCCUAAACUUCAGCCUGUGCUUCCUAAACUUCGCAGCUAGAAUUGCUUGUUUAAGCGAGAGUUUGUUCAGAAUGACGUAGUACAAUCGCAUCUUUUUUCGCGCCAACUAUACUCUUCCUUUAAGUUUGGCUUUGCCGCGUCAUUUUUUCGACAACUUUGCGUCGUGUUGGGGUUGAAAGUGGUUUUGCCAACUUCUCCUCGCACCAUCCCAAUAAGGAAGUUUUGGGACCUUUUGUGAGCGCCUCUCCAUCCCAAAAACUGGAUACUAACUCUUGAUACGUUUGCGUUUGUUUUAUUCUCCCUACAAGGAAUGCAUUGCUUACAAAUAAAAGCAAUAAAUAGUUAGUGCACUAGAUUAACUUUUUUAAACAAAGUAAAGUUGGUGUUUUAUUUAUAAAUUUCGUUACUGUUUCAUAUUCAUGGAUAAUAAAACUAACGCAUAUCUUAUAGCUCUCUAUUUUAUUGAGAGCUGGAUAGUAUUUGAUGCUUAAUUAGUGCAAAGCCAUAUAUAGUAAUAAUAAUACAUAUAGCUUGUGUUUAUUCGUAUUCAAACACAAAGUAUUCAUUAUUGAUACAAAUAAUAACAUUUGUUCUAUAAAGGCAUAUUAGAAUUUCCUUACAGUUGAAUAAUAGAAAUCAUAUAAUUAUUCAUACUGGAUGAUUGUAUAAGUGUUUUUGUAUAUGCUACAUUGCUGUAAUAUUUGGUGUCAAUUUUGGUGGCUUUUACGUAUCUAAGCUGUAAGCCUAUUUAAAUAAAGAGUAUAUAGAUUCUGCUUCUUUGAAAAAAUAUCGAACGUCUUCUCUUUUCAAAAAGGUUUAAAAUGCGCCAUGGAGAUAACUCAAAAGAAGCCGGCUGAACAGAAAUCAAGGAUAUUUGUGCAUGCAACAAUUAAACUAGAAAAACACUACGCAGAUAGUGUCUUCAAAAAAAUCAAAUAUUUUAAGGCAAUUACCCCUGAAUGGAAGUACCGAAAAAGGACUUGAUCGCCAAAUUCUUCUAAAAUAUGAAUAAACGUGAAGUAUGGCGGGAAACAGGAAGAUCUAAGCUUAUAUAAAAAGCCACCUCACACCAAGUGUUUAGUUUUUUUUUAUUCAAUAAAGCGGUGCUUUAAGAAAUUGAAUAAAUAUGCAGCAACGCUGAAAAGGAUAGCAUUAUCUUUAAAGAAAAACUAAGUCUAAAUGAAACGAUAACUUUCACCCAGCGUUUGAAUAAUCGAUGCUGCUAGCCAUCUAAAGUCAAACUUCUCUCUCAUAUGACUGGAGACCAUUUAUUUCUCUGUGCCUUAUUACCAUUUCUUCCCAUAACGGCGAAAGGAAAUUGGAUUUUUUUUUAUUUCUUUGCCAUUGAAAGGAAUUUGAUUUGGAAGUUAUAGUAAUUUAAAGAUCAACAGUUUUCGAGAAACAAGUGUGAUUUCUAUUAGUGGAUAAUCUUUAUACAUUCUUUGUAUCCUGACAAGAUCGAAGACACAAAAAGAAAGACAAAAUACUGUGUCUUCAUAAUCAACGCCGAUAGUAUAUCAGACCCAACAUACUGAGUUCGCAGAAAUUUUGAAUUUCUGG